UACGAAGGGUGCAAGCGUUACUCGGAAUUACUGGGCGUAAAGCGCACGUAGGCGGCUUUGUAAGUUAGAGGUGAAAGCCCAGGGCUUAACCCUGGAAUUGCCUUUAAGACUGCAUCGCUAGAAUCGUGGAGAGGUGAGUGGAAUUCCGAGUGUAGAGGUGAAAUUCGUAGAUAUUCGGAAGAACACCAGUGGCGAAGGCGACUCACUGGACCGGUUCUGACGCUGAAGCGCGAAAGCGUGGGGAGCAAACGGG
rnacentral:rRNA from 1 species